GCUCUGGAGCCAGGCUGAGAGAGCUGGCCUGGUUCAGCCUGGAGAAGAGAGGGCUCCUUAAAGGGAGACCUUAGAGCAGCUUCAGUGCCUAAAGGGGCUACAAGAACCCUGGAGAAGGGCUUUUGAUAGGGGCAGGUAGUGACAGGACAAGGGGGAAUGGCUUUAAACUAGAAGAGGGUAGAUUCAGACUAGAAGCAAGGAUAAUAGUUUUAGAAGUAUCACAUAUUUUCUAAAAAGGCUUGAAAUAAAGCUGGAAUCUGCUAAAAGACAGGUGGAAGGCACAAUAUUGACCAAGUUGAGGCUUGUUCCUCUGUGAUGACAUUGAAGAACUCUCUGACAUGUUUUGAUUUCUUUCAUAUUUCUGAUUCUUUAUGGAGGCUCGAAGGGUUGAGGCCAUUCAAAGAGUUGAGGGAAGCUGUGAAUGAAAGUUCAUCGGAGCAGAGGACGCCCUGCAGAUGUGAGCCAAGCAUUAAGUGCAGUUGUCUGCAGAGCUUAAUUGCCCCUGCAACUUUUUUUGCCUGUCUUCUCAUUUUCCCUAGGUUGGCAUUUUUGUGGCUGAAUACCACUGGGAGUUAAGGACUUGCUGUGACUCUCGCUCUUACUUAGAGGAGUUUUGCCUGCAGCAGUCACAUAGUUGAAAAAUACAGAUCCAUGUGACUGCUAAGAGACCACUGAGAAGCCAAGAAUACCUCAAGCACUUCCGUGCCUUCUGGGUAUGGUUGACAGCAUUGCACAAGUGUGACUGAGAUCCUGAGGAGCAAGGGAAAUGACUUGGAUGCAGAAGUUUACCAAAACCAGAACUGGGAGAAUUUUGCUGGGGCAACAAAUGGAGCAAAACUUUGGUGAAUUUGGAUGGAGAACGCUUUGGCGUCUGUUACAGGCUGCUGGCAGCGCUGCCUGCUCCUUGGCUCCGUACUUCACCCUGACUUGUGAAUGAUCCGCCUGGGCUCUGGUGUCCCUGAACUAACCAAGUGUCUGGGAGCCCCGUUCAGCUGCUCUUUGGAACAAAAGAGAGAGAACCUGAAGGAAAUCCUGCUUGCACUGUGAAGCACCCUGAGUGCAGCCUGCCCGUUCAGGAGCGCACUGCAGAAAAUGAUGAGGGACAAGGUAAGGAACCACAUCCUUUCCCUUCUUAGCUGGCAAAGAAAACCCUUUUCUUUGGUCAGCCCUGGCAGAAGCUCCAUUUUAAACACCUUCCAAGAGUGAUUGUGAAACCUCUAGAGACCACAGUAUCUGUCACUUGGGGUUUUCUUCUUAUGAGUCUGGGAAACUCCUUGAGACAUCCCCAUGCCUGGAAAACUUCAAAGUAUUCCUAAGAGAGCAUAAUGAGGCUUUAACUGUGAGGCACUGCACUUUGACAUGGGGAGGAGGCUGUUUCCAUUCUUGCCAGAGGAUUUGGUAGUCCCUGCAUCUCGUUGGGACUGUCACCCAUUUCACUUUGAGGAUGCAAAGCCUUCUUUCAGCGUGGUCUGUGUAAUAUGGGACAUGCAGAUG